GGGCAAUUCUUCGAAACGAGAUUUCCACCUAUCCGUAUCCAAUAAAGGAGCUGAAUCUAAUAUAGCACUGAUUUCUCUAAAGUUUUGGUUUAUCUCUGUAUUUUCGAAAAUGAGUUAGGCAUGUUUCUAAAGGAUCAGAAGAAAGAGAUGGGACAAGAGCAUCUUCUACAAUGGAGUCGAUCAGAUUAACUCCAUGAAUUUCAUCAUUUUCGUUGUCAUUAUCG
rnacentral:lncRNA from 1 species